rnacentral:lncRNA from 1 species
UUUCACUUUUAACAAUAGUAACUUCUUGGGAUAAUUGCCUAUAUACUCCUCAAGACUUCAAAAAUGUCUUAUUUAUCUUUUUUUUUUCUUUCCAAUAUACCCCUUAUAUUUUUCUCCGUUAUUCCAAAAUACUCCUGCCGUUACAAUCCGUUAAGUUAAUUUGGGUUAAACGUGAGUUAAAUAUCUACCACAGUUAAAAAAAUUAAAAUGUCACUUUUGCCCUUAACUUAAGGGCAAAUAAGAAAUGCUGGUGAAGGUAGAUGGUUAUAUUUGAAAAUACCAGAAAACAAAAUACUUUUUGUACCCCUAACUUAAGAGCAAAUAAGAAAAGUCAGUGAUGGUAGAAUGAUAUAUUUGAAAGGGCAAAAUAGUAAUUUUAUAGAGAUAACAAAGUUUAUUAAUAGAUUUUAACUCUAAUGACAUAUUUGAAAUAGGUUGGAACGUAAAAAUGUAUUUUCAAUAUUAACCUUCUAAAAAAGGUAAAUUAGAAAGUCGAAAGUUUUUUAGGGGUAUGCAAUUGCCCCUAACUUCUUAUAGAGAGGUAAUGUUAUUUAUAACUUUAUUUGCUUUAUUAAAGGAAAGGGACAAGGGCAAGGCAUAAGAAAUAAGAUAAAGUUGGUUUGGGUAUAUCUAAGCAAAUAAGCCUUGAUAGGGACAAUUGUGGGGAACAUAUUUUUGUUGGUGGGGAGACCAAAGGGGAACUUAGGAUUCACUUUGGCAUGGAGAAUAGGGGCCAUAUAUUCUCAUUUUGGAAAAAUUAAUUAAUUAAUAUAUACCUUAGUCAUUGUACUUGGAAGAUUAAUUUGGUACAAGUUUCAUAAUUUUUUAUUUUUUAUUUAUUUUUUUUGUUUUGAGAGAAACUAGUUUCAAAGUACUUUAAUUAUCAUCUAGCAUAUGUUUAACUUCUUUCUUGGUUUUUUCCCAACAACUGUUCAUUUUUUAUAGAGCAUUUGCCAAGAAAUUAAAGACAUCUUGUACUCCACUGUAGCACAUAUCAGCUAGAGAUGAAGCUUCCGAAGUUUUAAAGCAAAAAAUCUUUAAUUUGAGAGGUUUUUUUUUUACUCUCAAAAAUAAAAUAAUAGAACCCCACUAAACAUUUCAGCAUUGCAUAUAGUAGCCCGACCCUAUAUAGGCCAUGGCUACUAUACUAUUAUGAGUACUGGAGCUCUCGUACUCAUAAGUUGUUUUUAAUGAUAGAGUUUCCGAAUCGACGAUCCACUCCGUUAAAUAUGAUCUAGAGUAUUUGAAACUUCUAGAAAAUAAAUUUCGAAAAUUUUCGAAAUCAUAAUAAACUCUAUCAAGUGGGCAUAAAAUGAACGGUCAAAAUCGAACGACGUCCUAAAAAAGGAUGAUCGGAUCCUUCAAUUCAAGAUCGGAGUUAUUGAUCUUUAUCUAUGUAGUGAAUAGAAUUUUCUAUCAAAAAUUCAACAAAUUCCGAUUCUUUUACACCGUUAAACUAGCAAGUAUCCCAUACCGGCCGUUAAAAAUUGUCAAAUUUGUGACCUCUUGAUCGUAAGGUAAAUUAUGUCGAAAAAUUAUAAAAUUUAAUUUCUAGAAGUUUUAAAUAUUGUAAAUAACGUUUAACGGCGUGGAUCAUCGAUUCAGAAGCUCUAUCAUCGAAAACAACUUAUGAGUACGAGGGCGAUCGUACNAGAGAGAGAGAGAGAGAGAGAGAGAGAGAGAGAGUUGAGCUGGAAUGCUAUCGAUAGCAAAUCGACUCCGUUGUCACCCAUUUGUUUUCAAUGAUAGAGCCUUUAAAUUGACGAUCGGCACCGUUGAACAUGAUCUAUACCACUUGAAGUAUUUAGAAACCAAAUUUCAGAUCUUUUCGACAUCAUUAACCUAAUGAUCAAAGCGUUUCCAAAUUUGUAAUUUUAAUGAUAGAUAUGAGGCAUUUUCUCGUUUAACGGUAUAAAGCUAUCCAAAUCAAUUGAACAUUGGUUAGAAAAUUCUUUAAACUAUUUAGAAUAAGAUCUAUACUCUCGAUCAUGAUUACAAAAUUUCUAUCAUCACUUUUUAAAGGAUAUUCAUUUUCAACCUUUCAUUUUUUCACCCACUUGAUGGAUAAGAGAACAAUAUCGGAAAAGUAUGAAAUUUGAUUUCUAGAUACUUCAAGUGGUAUAGAUCAUAUUCAACGGUGCCGAUCAUCAAUUUGGAGGCUCUAUCAUCAAAAAUAAGUUGGUAGCAACGAAGCCCGUUUACUAUCGAUAGUUUUUUAGCUCAACUAUAUAUAUAUAUGGAGAGAGAGAGAGAGAGAGAGAGAGAGAGAGAGUUGAGCUAGAAUACUCUUAAAAGUAUAUAUAUAUAUAUAUAUAUAGAUAGAUAGUUGAGCUAGAAUACUUUUAAAAGCACCAAAUGAGUGGUGUUUUUGAGUUUUUAACCAUUGGAUGAAGAGAUGUAGGGUUGAGAUAAUAGUGGUAGGUGGUGAUAGGUGGAAUAGUGUUUAAUCCAAAGACUAUUAGUAAUCAAGGAGUAGAUCUAAGGGCUAGAAACCUCGAAACACCAAGGACUUGGUGCUUCUAAAAGUAUUCUAGUUCAAUUAUAUAUAUAUAUAUAUAUAUAUAUAGAGUCCGGCUACUAUACUAUCGGUAGCACGGAGCCUCCCGUGCUACCAAGUUGUUUUCGAUGAUGCGGCUUCCAAAUCAACGAUCGGCUCCGUUAGACUUGAUCUACAUUAUUAAAAGUAUUUGGAAACUAAAUUUCAUAAUUUUUCGAUAUCAUUUACCUAUCAAACAAAUAGUCUAAAAUUGAACGGCCGAAAAUAAAAACCUCAUAAAAAAUAAUGAUAAAAGAUUUAAACUCAAGAUCAGAUAUACUGAUCUUACUCUAAAUAGUGAAAAGAAUUUUUCAUAAAAUUUUCAUCGGAUUUCGAUUGUUUUACACCAUUCAACUCACAAACAUGCCACAUCGGCCAUUAAAAUGGUCAAUUUUGAGAUCUUUUGAUCACUAGUCAAAUGAUGUCGAAAAAUUAUGAAAUUUAAUUUCCAAAUACUUUUAAUAGUGUAGAUCAAGUCUAACGGAGCUGAUCGUCGAUUUGGAAGCCGCAUNA